UACGUAGGGUGCGAGCGUUAAUCGGAAUUACUGGGCGUAAAGGGUGCGCAGGCGGCGUCGCAAGUCAGGCGUGAAAUCCCCGGGCUUAACCUGGGAACUGCACUUGAAACUACGAUGCUGGAGUAUGGCAGAGGGAGGUGGAAUUCCACGUGUAGCGGUGAAAUGCGUAGAGAUGUGGAGGGACACCGAUGGCGAAGGCAGCCUCCUGGGCCAAUACUGACGCUCAUGCACGAAAGCGUGGGGAGCAAACAGG
rnacentral:rRNA from 1 species